GUAUUCUAUGGGGUGCAAGCUUUAAGUGCAACUUAAGUACUAAUUUAUUUAUCAGACCCUUAUGUAAUUUGUGCAUUACUGCUAGCCAACAUGAAUGUUAUAUA
rnacentral:ncRNA from 8 species